AGUAAAUAAGAGAAUCAAGAGAUACAAAUUCAGUGUUUCAAACGAUGAUGUCUGAGUAUGAGUGCUGAUACAUGCUGAAUAUUUAUGAUCCAGAACGAGGCUUACGUUUAAAAACCUUCUAUAAAAUCAAGACGUCUGUAAGUAAAGUAUGUAUACGAGUUAGUUUUUUUAAACCAAGCGUGUAAUUAUCAGUGAUUCCUUAUUGAAGUUAUGAAAUUCAACCUUUUUAUUUAAUGUGGAUAAGUCAAAACUCUCCCGACUGUUUAUAAUAAGCUAACAUUUGCUACUAACUAAAGGAGCACUCAACCUUUUCUGAUUCGGCUGUUAGUUGUUAGACCAAUUAAAGCACCGAAACAUGGGGAAAAUCAUCAGCAGGCUUGCAAAAGACAUGAACUUUUGGAGGUAAAAUACCUAACACGAUUGUCAAAAUAAAGGGUGCAAAAAUUUUACAUGUUUUAUCAAAUCUGAAAAUUUGGAUUAAAUGACCUCAUUUUGUUUAAAGCACUCAAUAGAGAAUAGAAAAAUAAAUAAAUGUAUUGGUCCUAAGCGCCUUUAAUCAGAAUGGGCUUAUUAAAAGUAUUUAUAACCCAAGCGUAAAUACAAAAAAGACCCGGUGUUUACACCCAAACGUUUUGACAAUAGAUAAUAGUUGCUUUUUCAAAAUAGCUCAAUACAAUUAUACUGCUAUGUCUAACUUCCCGACAUCUUCAGUUUGAAGACUGCGGUUUGGAAAUAAAAAAACAUAAAUCAUACUUCAUGGAUGGACAGUUGUCUCAUUGGCACUCAUACCACAUCUUCCUUUGCCAGUGUAUUCAACCUUUGUUCUCGAAAAAAUACCUUUCAAAAUCAUUCUUAUAAGUAAUAUAACGUGGUUUUAUUUAUUUCCCGUAUAUAUAAUAGAGACUUUUAAUGCAUAUGGAAGUUCAAUAAAACAUUUACCUAAACUUAAAAUAAUACUUUUAAAAAUGGAUAAAAAAACCUUAUAAUUUCUUGCAAUGUUGGCAAAAUGCUAUAAAAUAAGAAAUGUGAUAGGAUUGUCAAUGAGUCAAUAUCUAAAUGAAGCAGAAUUAAGCUACAUAAUCGAUUGCAAAUACAAAAAUGAGGUUCUAUACAUGUGCUUCUGUAUUUUGGUUCAAGUACAAAAUUGAUUUUCAAACUCCUAAAGGACCAAAUAAUAUACUUGCAAAUCAUUUUUCAUUGACAUUUAAAAUCUUAAAUAAGCACUAUAACAUAAAAAAGAAGAUGUGGCAUGAUUACCAAUGAGACAACUCUCCACAAUAGACCAAAUGACACGUAAAUAAACAAUAAAAGGUCACCGUUCGGCCUUCAACAAUGAGUAAAGCCCCUACCACAUAGUCAGUUAUAAAAAAAAAAAAAAUGGUAAAACAAUUCAAACGAGAAAACUAACAGCCUUAUCUAUGUGAAAAGUAAUUAAUCGAUGUUCUAUGAUUCUAAGAUAUUGAAUAUAGAAAUUUGCUGAAUGUUAUGCCAACAUGCGAGAUAUAUCUGUGUUAAAUCUUAAUAGCUAUUUCUUUGACUGAAGUUUCAUCACUUAUUUUUUUUGUCUAGAUAACCUCCAAAUGUAGAAUGAAACUUGACAAGAUCUAUGGUAAUCCAUUCAAAUCUCAUCGUGAAUUA
rnacentral:lncRNA from 1 species